CCUACGGGUGGCAGCAGUGAGGAAUAUUGGUCAAUGGACGAGAGUCUGAACCAGCCAAGUAGCGUGAAGGAUGACUGCCCUAUGGGUUGUAAACUUCUUUUAUAUGGGAAUAAAAUGUUCCACGUGUGGGAUUUUGUAUGUACCAUAUGAAUAAAGAUCGGCUAACUCCGUGCCAGCAGCCGCGGUAAUACGGAGGAUCCGAGCGUUAUCCGGAUUUAUUGGGUUUAAAGGGAGCGUAGGUGGAUUGUUAAGUCAGUUGUGAAAGUUUGCGGCUCAACCGUAAAAUUGCAGUUGAAACUGGCAGUCUUGAGUACAGUAGAGGUAGGAGGAAUUCGUGGUGUAGCGGUGAAAUGCUUAGAUAUCACGAAGAACUCCGAUUGCGAAGGCAGCUUACUGGACUGCAACUGACACUGAGGCUCGAAAGUGUGGGUAUCAAACAGGAUUAGAUACCCCGGUAGUC
rnacentral:rRNA from 1 species